rnacentral:rRNA from 1 species
UACAGAGGUCCCGAGCGUUGUUCGGAUUCAUUGGGCGUAAAGGGUGCGUAGGCGGCGCGGUAAGUCGGGUGUGAAAUCUCGGAGCUUAACUCCGAAACUGCAUUCGAUACUGCCGUGCUUGAGGACUGGAGAGGAGACUGGAAUUCAUGGUGUAGUGGUGGAAUGCGUAGAGAUCGGGAGGAACACCAGUGGCGAAGGCGACUGCCUGGACCGUGGCUGACGCUGAGGCGCGAAAGCGUGGGGAGCGAUCCGG